CAGCGGCCAUACCAUGGUGAAUAUACCGGUUCUCGUUAGUCGGUUCUCGAAGUCAAGCAUCAUUGGGCACGGUCAGUACUUGGGUGGGUGACCACCUGGGAACACCGUGUGCCGUU